rnacentral:lncRNA from 1 species
AAAGGAGUGUGUGGCAGGGCUGUGGAAGAGAGGGAGAGAGAGAGGUGGACGCAUUGAGAGUAUAUCUUCUGCCUUCAGUCUAUAUGGCUGACUAUGACUAUGCGAGAUGGUUCACCAACUACCUGCAGCUCCUCUUCAUUUGUCAUCCUCUCUAUCCAGCUGCAUCGCAUGUCUUUGAAGUUGUCAAGGCCUGUGGGUACAAGAACACAGCUGCUGUGAGAAGACCAAGUUUGCAAUUGUCAACUUUUCUAUAUGGAAAUUUUCCAAGGGUUUUGUGGUUUUUUUAUUUCCUGUGAUAUUGGCUUUGGGUUGCAUCAGAAUGUAAAAUUUCACCUAAACCUUUCUUCCCCACCUAAAGGUACUAAUGUUAUCAGUCAG